rnacentral:rRNA from 1 species
GUAGGUGGUCAGUAAAGCGAAUAGUGAAAUCUGGGGGCUUAACCUCCAGGCUAUUAUUCGAACCCACUGACUCGAGAAUGGUAGAGGUAACUGGAAUUUCUAGUGUAGGAGUGAAAUCCGUAGAUAUUAGAAGGAACACCAAUGGCGUAGGCAGGUUACUGGACCAUUUCUGACACUGAGGCACGAAAGCGUGGGGAGCGAACCGGAUUAGAUACCCGGGUAGUCCACGCCGUAAACGAUGGAUACUAGCUGUUGGAGGUAUCGACCCCUCCAGUAGCGAAGCUAACGCGUUAAGUAUCCCGCCUGUGGAGUACGGUCGCAAGACUAAAACAUAAAGGAAUUGACGGGGACCCGCACAAGCGGUGGAUCGUGUUCUUUAAUUCGAUGAUAAACGAAGAACCUUACCCAGGUUUGACAUCCUUGGAAUUUUGCCGAAAGGCGAGAGUGCUUUAUUGAGCCAAGUGACAGGUGUUGCAUGGCCGUCGUCAGUUCGUGUCGUGAGAUGUUUGGUUAAGUCCAUCAACGAGCGCGACCCUUAUAGUCUGUUGUAUUUUUCAGGCUAGACUGCCCCGGUAACGGGGAGGAAGGAGGGGAUGAUGUCAGGUCAGUAUUACCCUUACAUCUGGGGCUACAAACACGCUACAAUGGCCGGUACAAAGGGCAGCCAAGUCGCGAGACGGAGCAAAUCCCAUCAAAGCCGGUCCCAGUUCAGAUUGCAGGCUGAAACUCGCCUGCAUGAAGUCGGAAUCGCUAGUAACGGUAGGUCAGCUAUACUACCGUGAAUACGUUCCCGGGUCUUGUACACACCGCCCGUCAAACCAUGAAAGUCACCAAUACCUGACGUGUUGCCUUCGCGCAGCCCUAAGGUAGGGGGGAUGAUUGGGGUU